rnacentral:rRNA from 1 species
UACGUAGGGUGCAAGCGUUGUCCGGAAUUAUUGGGCGUAAAGAGCUUGUAGGCGGUUUGUCGCGUCUGCUGUGAAAAUCCGGGGCUCAACCCCGGACUUGCAGUGGGUACGGGCAGACUAGAGUGUGGUAGGGGAGACUGGAAUUCCUGGUGUAGCGGUGAGAUGCGCAGAUAUCAGGAGGAACACCGAUGGCGAAGGCAGGUCUCUGGGCCACUACUGACGCUGAGAAGCGAAAGCAUGGGGAGCGAACAGG